AAAAAGGCUUAAACUUUCAGUUCAGUACUAAUUAAUGUUCUUCUGGGAUGCUGAUAUUGAUGUUCUUUCAUCUUAAAACUUUGCAAAACGCUUUCUGUUGAAAUGUACGUAAGCCUUCAGCAAACACCCAUAACAACCACAAAGAUCCACUCUGCGUUACUAUAAAAGGCUCUAAAGUUUAGGCAGGCUUCAGGUUAUCUGCUUCCACUACAUGCUAGGUCAGAAAACUACAUUUAGAAUACCUUUGACACUUCACAUAAGAUGUGGUACAGCUUUUUUUUAAUUAAAAAAAAGUGUUCUGCCUGAAAAUUAUACUUGGGCAAGCCUGUGCUGGUACAUCACAACCUUGUGAGUGCAUCUGAUUGCUGCACUUGGAACCUUACACCUGCCCUGCAAAAAAAGGGACUUUCAGUAACAAGCGUGCUUAAUAUAUGUAUGCUUAUAAACUUCUCUCAAACUAACUUUUAACGCAGCUAAGCACUGACUAAUUUUUUUUUUGUAUUAAAUUUGUGUUUGGGUGCAUCUUUCUCCCGGAACAGCAGAGCCACCACCUCUGCCUGCCUGCUUUUGUUGAUUUCUCUGUGAGCCGCUGACGCAGAGGCACAAUGAGGGAGCUCAGAGGAUUUCUCCUGCCACACAGGGCUGGCCUCCAGCCUGCACCAGCAGCAUUCAGAACUGCUCAGCUGUGAAAGCCGCCGCUCCCUCUGAAGCUCAACAGCCUUUAGAAGAAACGCUGGGUUGUAUUUAGAAGAAAUAUACGCGUUAAUAUAUCACGGGAAGCAAUGCAGCGUGUUGGUGGUCACGAGCAAGGAGCCACUGGGACACAGCUAUGAGAGGAACCCAGGGCAACGCAGAGGGAGCAGCUCUCUCCUGCCAACUUCUGACAGACGUGCCCACACCUCACCCACAACGCUGGGAGUUUCGGUACGCGUUCUGCGACAAACGUAUCGCAGCGCUGAGCUUCCAGCUGUGGAAAUUAAACAAAAUCAAGGGGAACCCGAGGCUGCCAGCCUCCCAGCGACGCCCAGAGGAAUGCCUGCCUGCUAACUUUGGCAGAAGCAGAACUUCUCCAGCCGAAAGCUGAGUGCGCUCUGCCAGCGCAGCAGCCAGAAAUGACGGCCGUGGCUCAGAGCAGCCCAGCGCCGCGACAGGGGACAACUUACGGAGGAAAGACGAACACAAAGCACCAAGUGCGCCAACCCGACACGCUCAGGGGAAAGUUGAACUUAAGAUCCAUACAAACAUAAGGAAAAACUUUAGAGUGCAACAGAACGCUGGAACAGGAUGCCCAGAGAGGUGGUGGAAUUUCCUGUGGAGACACUCAAGACUCAUCUGGACGCUUUCUUGCAUACCCACUGUAGGGAAUGUGCUUUAGCAGGAGGAUGAACUGGAUGAUCUCCAGAGGUCUCUUCCAACCUCUACAAUUCUGUGAUUCUAUUGAGUUUUAUACCUCUCAUAUACACGUUAUCACUCUCUACACCUACCUGAAAGGAGGUUGUAGCAGAGUGGGGGCAGCCCUUUAUUCCCAGUUAAUUAGUGAAAGAACCAGAGGUCAUGGCCUCAGAUUGUGCCAGGGGAGGUUCAGGUUGGAUAUCACGGAAAAUUUCUCCAACCACUCCAAAAGAGUGGUAAUGCAUUGGCACAGGCUGCCCAGGGAGGUGGUAGGAUCACUGUCCCUGGAGGUGUUCAAGAACCGUAGGGAUAUGGCACUGAGGGACGUGGUCAGUGGGCAUGGUGAGGUGGGUGGAUGGUUGGACUAGAUGAUCCUAGAGGUCUUUUCCAACCUGAAUGAUUCUAUGGUUCUGCUGAGUGAGUUCUAUACCUCUCAUAUACAUAUAUAAAUAUAUCUGUACGUACAAGGAAUGUAUCACAAGGCUAUCAUACCACUGUUGAAAAAAUGUAAGGCAUUUACAAAUUCUGCUUGGUAAAAUGUCAUAAAGGUGUUCUGCAGUGCUGAACAUAAUUUACUUUCAAUAUCUUAAGUACAUUUGUUCAAUUUCAUUGAACACACAAGCUUAAUAAUAAGUGCAAGACCUGCCUUGGGGCCCUUUCUGCAAAAAUUGUAUUAGACUCAAGGUAAGCACAGGAAAAGGCAAGAUUGGACUUUACCUGGUGUAAUGUUGCAGGCUUCUCAACUGCAAUCAAGUAUUGAUUUAGAAGAUUAGGUCUAUUACUGCAAAUCAGAGUACAGCUGGAGACAUGCUGACCUACUACAAUAGGAAUUGGUGUCCUAGUGAAUUUAGUGGUUCCUUAAUAGCUCUUCUAAGUGCAGCUGUUUUCCCUUAGGACUGAAACUUGACAAAGCAUGGGAGUAAGAAAAAUAAAAGGAAAAUUUGUAUCUUCAACUCCAGUAUAGCAUAAAAAAUCCUUUUUUUUUUCUUAAAAAGUGGAUAUUUUUUAAGUUGGUAUUGUUACAAUCAAGCCUUCACUGAAAUCCUUGUAGACUAUGCACUUUAUAAGGCUUAUUCUCUGGCAAGAAACAGUAUACAAGAUGAACAGAAGCAAAUGGUCCUUUUCUUACUGUGUAGGAAACAGAAGCAAAGAGUCCGGGCUGAGUUCACUGAAAAACACUGUAACAGAGUAUUCAUGAGAUGAAUAUAACCAUCUCAUGCCCCUUUGUCAGGAGAGAUUGGAUGCACUGGUGUGGAAGACAGUAACAACCCCUGAACUUGUUUUAUAAUGUAGGAGCGAAUCUCAACUACGACAAAGUAAAGCACUGUUCCAGCUGUCUCCAUCCAGCUGUCAGGGUUGUAGAAGAACUGCUGCACAUGGUGUAGCUAAAAACAAUCAGAAAUAUAAUUUUGAAGGAAUAUUUUAAUCCAAGGUUAACCCAUGCCAGAGGAAAACAGCAGCUACCUAUAAUUAAACACAUCAGCUAUAUUGAUUGACCUUUACUUGAGAUAGCAGUUGUUGCCUGAAGCCUUUGCAGUAAUAUACACAUAUCCAUAUGGCUGUAACAGAAUGAGAGGGAAAUGGGAUUGUAAAAUAGAACAUGGUAUGGUCACUCUGUGCUCGGCAAUUCUGCUGACAUGACAGCACAUUCCUCUGCGCUGUGUCCUUGUCCCUUGUGCUCCUUGCAGGGAUGUUAAAUGCUCCAGGCUGCCACACUGGAAGAAAUAGCUUCGGGAGCUCAUGUUGCUGGAAAGGUAGUGCAAUGGGAAAAUGAGUUCAUCGUUUUAUGGGAGACGUUGCCUGAAUCAGCAUUCGUGAAGAGGGUGUUACCCCCGUGCAGUGAAGUAUCCACACAUGCAGCUGGGCCAUUGGAGUGUAAAUUCACAGCAAAGUGAAUAUAGCUUCAAUUUUAAAAAAUUCCAUAGAAUGCAUAAAGCCAUGAAAAACUCAAGACAGCCUGAGCAACUGUUAGUACCAGAUAACACACAUUUGGAAAUAACAUAUGAUGUGAAUUCUCAAAACAAAGACACUUCUAAGUGAAAUUAAGAUGUGGUAGUGUAAUUUAUGAGAUCGUUCUUGGACGCGUAACAAGAAAACUUAUUUUUGAAGCUAAGAUUGUGUGUGAGGAGAGAUUUAUGAGCGAAUGUUUCCAAUGGACUCUCCAUGUGACCUUAAUGAAGUUUAUUAUGCAUUCAUAUACUCCUAAUGCUUAUCUGCAAAUGUGUUAAUAAAUGCUUAUUUAUACUGUAA